UCAACCAGCAGAGGCAUUGCAGAUGUGGCUGCCGUAUCACAUAUGGGUCAGUAGGUGGCAGAGCAGAGAGAGGGGCUAUGUCUACACUCAGUGUUCUGCCCGUCUAUCUGAAUGAUUAGUAGCCAAGCACU